rnacentral:rRNA from 1 species
GACGAACGCUGGCGGCGUGCUUAACACAUGCAAGUCGAACGGAAAGGCCUCUUUCGGGGGGUACUCGAGUGGCGAACGGGUGAGUAACACGUGAGUAACCUGCCCUUGACUUUGGGAUAACUUCAGGAAACUGGGGCUAAUACCGGAUAGGAGCUCCUGCUGCAUGGUGGGGGUUGGAAAGUUUCGGCGGUUGGGGAUGGACUCGCGGCUUAUCAGCUUGUUGGUGGGGUAGUGGCUUACCAAGGCCUUGACGGGUAGCCGGCCUGAGAGGGUGACCGGCCACAUUGGGACUGAGAUACGGCCCAGACGCCUACGGGAGGCAGCAGUGGGGAAUAUUGCACAAUGGGUGGAAGCCUGAUGCAGCAACGCCGGGUGCGGGAGGACGGACUUCGGGUUGUAAACCGCUUUCGCUCAUGACGAAGCUUUGUGUGACGGUAGUGGGUAAAGAAGCACCGGCUAACUACGUG